AGACUGGUUCAUAAGUGUGAUGAUUCGGUAUUCAUGCCUUUGGGUGAUAUGUGCAACCCAAUAAACCUUGUUACGAUGUGGGUACAUUACCCAUCUGAUG